rnacentral:rRNA from 1 species
UGGGGAAUAUUGCACAAUGGGCGCAAGCCUGAUGCAGCCAUGCCGCGUGUAUGAAGAAGGCCUUCGGGUUGUAAAGUACUUUCAGCGGGGAGGAAGGGAGUAAAGUUAAUACCUUUGCUCCUUGACGUUACCCGCAGAAGAAGCACCGGCUAACUCCGUGCCAGCAGCCGCGGUAAUACGGAGGGUGCAAGCGUUAAUCGGAAUUACUGGGCGUAAAGCGCACGCAGGCGGUUUGUUAAGUCAGAAGUGAAAUCCCCGGGCUCAACCUGGGAACUGCAUCUGAUGCUGGCAAGCUUGAGUCUCGUAGAGGGGGGUAGAAUUCCAGGUGUAGCGGUGAAAUGCGUAGAGAUCUGGAGGAAUACCGGUGGCGAAGGCGGCCCCCUGGACGAAGACUGACGCUCAGGUGCGAAAGCGUGGGGAGCAAACAGG